AUGCUGCUGACAGAGCCUGAGGGAGACCCAGCGGCCCCAGGGUCAGGCCAGGAUCAGGAGAGGGUGCGGGUCGGAGGCUUCCGCGCCAUUUCCCAGGCGCGUUUCUAUUCUUUGGCCCCUUCGGGAAGCAACGGCCUUCGCGGACCUCUGUCCCGCCGGCAGACUGCCCCCCGGAGGCUGCACACACCAAGGAGAAAGCAGAAGCUUAGAGAAACGCCAAGAAUCCCUCUGUGCUGUGUUCCAGGCUGUCCCAAGAUUCUGACACCUCAUAGUAAGUCUUGUGUCCUGGUACACACCAGUGGGGAGUCUUGAGCUGUUGGGAGAGUCUGAGGAGGACACCUUGCCACCCUGGGACUGGAACUGACUUUAAGAGGGACCCUGAGGUAUGAAAGGAGAUUUGCUGGUAGGGUUAGGACCAGAGGGUUUGAGGAAUCCUCAAGGUCCCUGGUGAUUAGACUUUUUUUUAUUAUUCUUUUAUUAUUUAUUUCAAAAGAAGAAAGAAAUAUUUCAUGCGUUAGUUUACUUCCCUAAUGCCCACAAAAGCUGGAAAGGUAUGUAAAGCCAGGGUCUGGGAACUCAAUCCAAGUCUCCUAUGUGAAUAGCAGGAAUGUAAAAACUUGAGCCGUCACCUGCUGCCUCCCAGGUUGGAGUAGUAGGAAGCUGGAAUCAGGACUUCAGCCAGGACUUGAUCCUGGGCACUCUCAUGGGCUGUGGGGAUUCCAGUAGUGGCUUAGCUGCUAUACCAAAAGCCCAUCCCUGAUUAGUUCUUCCUUCAAAGUGUGGCUGGCUACUUGUGAGGGGUUUACCUCACCACUGCUAACUGGGCCUGCUGCACAAUUUUGUGAGCACCUUGUUCCAAAGGCAGUGGUAAAGUGCCACUAAAGAUACUAAAACAUAAAGCUCUUUCCUUUCUUCCAUGUAUCUCCUUGGCUCAGACUCAUGUUCUUUUGACUUGCUUACAAAACACAAGUUCAGAGAUAAAAUUUUGAGGCUUUUUAAGACACCACCAGCAGAGGUUUAAACCCAGUGCAGGCCCUUCUGAGUGCCAGCCCUGUGUGACUGUUCCUAUGUGACUAUGUAGGCUGCACGCCCAUGAGGUUAUCCCUGGCUGCUGAGUAUAACCCAUUGGCUUUAACCCAUCCAGGUCUAAUUGUAUGACACUCCAGGGCACCUGGGCAGACUUAAUGUCUUAUUAAGUCAGCUCCCUGAGGGUUGUGUGGACUAGCUAGUCAUACUGUCUUGUGAUCAAACUCCUUGAUUUUCCUUUUCCAGCUAGGUCUGGUAUCUGUUUCCGGUGUAAGGCUCCUCAUUCCUGGCCUUGAGCACUGAGAGGAACUGGAAUGCUGCUGUGGCAGAGACCUCCUGCAGGUUCUCUCAGCAUUCUGAGUCCCCACGACUCCGCUUAGUGCUUCUAUGGUACCACACUGUCAGAACUGUGUUCACAAAUGAGUCAGGGGACAGUCUGUUCCUGCUGUAUUCCUGCUCUGAGCCUGUCAAUCAAGUUUCACACAAGGCCGAUGAUAGAAAUGUUGCAUCCAGGCCAGUGCCGUGGCUCACUUGUCUAAUCCUCCGCCUGUGGUGCUAGCACCCCGGGUUCUAGUCCUGGUUGGGGCACUGGAUUCUGUCCUGGUUGCUGCUCUUCCAGUCUAGCUCUCUGCUGUGGCCCGGGAAGGCAGUGAAGGAUGGCCCAGGUGCUUGGGCCCUGUACCCGCAUGGGAGAUCAGGAGGAAGCACCUGGCUCCUGGCUUCAGAUCAGCGCAGCGCGCCGGCCAUAGCGGCCAUUUGGGGGAUGAACCAACAGGAAAGGAAGACCUGUCUGUAUGUCUGUCUGUCUCUCUCUCUCUGUCUAACUCUGCCUGUCAAAAAAAAAAAAAAAGAGAGAAAUGUUGCAUCCAAAACAGCCCCCUUAUAACUAAGGUCACCUUAAGAGCUCCACAAAUGGAUCUUGGACAGGAGGUCAGGACUUUAUGUGCAACUUGAACCUUUCCUGCCUUGGGAUGGUUACUGCCCCAACCCCCAGGACAUGUUCUGAGCUGCUUGGUCCUAGGUGUAGAGGCUCUGACCUCUGGAAAUGUUGUACUGAGUUGACUUCUGAGUGUCCAGAGGCCAGAAAAUAUGUAACAGAGUUCCUUGGAUCUGUGUGACCACUUGGAUAUCCAACUGUGAUCGCAGACAUGCAUGGUGGAUUUAUGAGUGCUGCCUCAGGGUGGAGCUGAGUACUUCCUGCUGGGACUGUGUGAUCUUCCUGGGAUGCCAGGGUGGCACAGCAACCCAUGGUGCUCUGGAGGCUCUCGCUAAAUCUGUGUGUAACUUAGAAGGUAAAAAUGUGUCUUUUCACUAGUAUGGAGCAGAGUCUCAGAAGGACAAGGGGAUGGUCCUAUAAGAAAUUGAUGCUGGGGCUGGCGCUGUGGCACAGCAGGUUAAAGUCUUGGCCUACAGUACUGGCAUCCCAUAUGGGUGCCGCUUCAUGUCCCAGCUGCUCGACUUCUGAGCCAGCUCUCUGCUAAGUCCUGGGAAAGCAGUAGAAGAUGGCCCGAGUCCUUGGGGCACUGUACCCAUUUGGGAGACCCAGAAGAAGAUUCUGGCUCCUGGCUUUGGAUCAUCUCAGCACUGGCCAUUGCAGUCAUGGGGGAGUGAACCAGCUGUUGGAAGAUCUCUCUCUCUCUCUCUCUCUGGCUCUCUCUCUCUUUCUGGCUUGACCUCUCUCUAACUUUUUCAAAUAAAAUAAAUCCUUUAAAAAAUAACUUAAUGCUA
ensembl:lncRNA